rfam:Asian citrus Psyllid, Diaphorina citri - Florida Strain, whole genome shotgun sequence.
UAGCGUAGUGGUCACUGCGCUCGCCUUGCACGCGGGAGACCCGGGUUCGAUUCCCGG